CCUACGGGCGGCAGCAGUGAGGAAUAUUGGUCAAUGGACGAGAGUCUGAACCAGCCAAGUAGCGUGAAGGAUGACUGCCCUAUGGGUUGUAAACUUCUUUUAUCUGGGAAUAAAACGUUCCACGUGUGGGAUUUUGUAUGUACCAUAUGAAUAAGGAUCGGCUAACUCCGUGCCAGCAGCCGCGGUAAUACGGAGGAUCCGAGCGUUAUCCGGAUUUAUUGGGUUUAAAGGGAGCGUAGGUGGAUUGUUAAGUCAGUUGUGAAAGUUUGCGGAUCAACCGUAAAAUUGCAGUUGAAACUGGCAGUCUUGAGUACAGUAGAGGUGGGCGGAAUUCGUGGUGUAGCGGUGAAAUGCUUAGAUAUCACGAAGAACUCCGAUUGCGAAGGCAGUUCACUGGACUGCAACUGACACUGAGGCUCGAAAGUGUGGGUAUCAAACAGGAUUAGAUACCCUUGUAGUC
rnacentral:rRNA from 1 species